rnacentral:misc_RNA from 1 species
GGAGGCAAGGGCCAACAGAGCUAGACCAGAGUUGGUGUAAAUCAGCCGCACAACCUGCAUCCAUUGGCAUAAUAUCCUCAUUCUGACAAUAACAAGACAGCAAAAUAGAACAAACAUGUAUAUAUGUUUUAGGAACAGAAAUACCAACAGCCCUGUUAUUGAAGAAAUUGAGAAAGAAAUAGGGAAAAAUAGAAGAAAUAGGAAUAAAUAUAAGGAAUAGAAGAUAGGAUUUAGGAAGAAAAUAGAGAUUGGGAAAGAAAGAUAUGUUUCUUGGUAUUUUCUUGAAUGAAUGAUCACAAGUCCUUAUAGCUGCAUUUAUACAGCUUAUUCAACUACUUACAGCUUGAAUAACUGUUUCCACCAAAAGAACUCUCCUAAUACAAGUUUCUGAUAUACUCCCCCAAUUUCCUAACAUUUUUAACUGCUACUAGGGUUCUUCCUAUACCUAAUCCUCCUGUAUGUGACAAUAUGUACUUGGAAUAUCUGCAUAUUUGUGCAUGCACACACAAAAAUAUCUGUUGCAAAAUAUAUGGAAGUCCACAACAUAACAUAUACAUCAUAUAAAA